UGAGUACGAGACCCUAAGGCGUUGAAGCAGUCUAUGUCAGACUUCCAAGAAAAGCUCGCAAUGUCAUAACCAAAAAAUGCCUGUACCAUAACCGACACAGGUGGGUAGGUAGAGUAUACUAAGGGGCGCGAGAUAACUUUCUCUAAGGAACUCGGCAAAAUGACUCCGUAACUUCGGGAGAAGGAGUGCCUUAUUUUUAUAAGGUUGCAAUAACAAGAUCCAAGCAACUGUUUACCAAAAACACAGGUCUCCGCUAAGUCGUAAGACGAUGUAUGGGGGCUGACGCCUGCCCAGUGCCAGAAGGUUAAAGAAGUUGGUUAGUUUCGGCGAAGCUGAUGACUGAAGCCCUGGUGAACGGCGGCCGUAACUAUAACGGUCCUAAGGUAGCGAAAUUCCUUGUCGGGUAAGUUCCGACCCGCACGAAAGGCGUAAUGAUUUGGAUACUGUCUCGGAGAGGGGCUCGGUGAAAUAGACUUGUCUGUGAAGAUGCGGACUACCUGCACCUGGACAGAAAGACCCUAUGAAGCUUUACUGUAACUUGAGAUUGAAAUUGGACUUUAUUUGCGCAGUAUAGGUGGGAGACGUUGAGAAUAUUCUUGCGGGAAUAUUGGAGUCAUCAGUGAGACACCACUCUUGUAAUGUUAGAUUUCUAACUUUGUAUCAUGAUCUGGUCAAAGGACAGUUUCAGGCGGGCAGUUUGACUGGGGCGGUCGCCUCCCAAACGGUAACGGAGGCGCACAAAGGUUUCCUCUGAACGUGUAGAAAUCGUAUCUAGAGUGUAAAGGCAUAAGGAAGCUUGACUGUGAGACCUACAAGUCGAGCAGGGACGAAAGUCGGUCUUAGUGAUCUGACGGUGCUGAGUGGAAAGGCCGUCACUCAACGGAUAAAAGUUACUCUAGGAUAACAGGCUGAUCUCCCCCAAGAGUUCACAUCGACGGGGAGGUUUGGCACCUCGAUGUCGGCUCAUCGCAUCCUGGGGCGGUAGUACGUCCCAAGGGUUGGGCUGUUCGCCCAUGAAAGCGGUACGCGAGCUGGGUUCAGAACGUCGUGAGACAGUUCGGUCCAUAUCCGGUGUAGGCGUUAGAAUAUUGAGAGGAGCCUUCUUUAGUACGAGAGGACCGAGAAGGACAUACCUCUGGUGUACCAGUUAUCGUGCCAACGGUAAACGCUGGGUAGCUAUGUAUGGAGUGGAUAACCGCUGAAAGCAUCUAAGUGGGAAGCCCACCUCAAGAUAAGUAUUCCC
rnacentral:rRNA from 1 species